CGCAGACUAACAGGAUUCCCCUAGUAGCGGCGAGCGAAGCGGGAAGAGCUCAAAUUUGUAAUCUGGCACCUUCGGUGUCCGAGUUGUAAUCUCUAGAAGUGUUUUCCGCGUUGGACCGCACACAAGUCUGUUGGAAUACAGCGGCAUAGUGGUGAUACCCCAUUACACGGUGCGGACGCCCAGCGCUUUGUGAUACACUUUCGACGAGUCGAGUUGUUUGGGAAUGCAGCUCAAAUUGGGUGGUAAAUUCCAUCUAAAGCUAAAUAUUGGCGAGAGACCGAUAGCGAACAAGUACCGUGAGGGAAAGAUGAAAAGCACUUUGGAAAGAGAGUUAAAAGUACGUGAAAUUGUUGGAAGGGAAACGCUUGAAGUCAGACUUGCUUGCCGGGCUUGCUCGGUUUGCAGGCCAGCAUCAGUUUUCCGGGGCGGAUAAUGGCAGUUAGAAUGUAGCAGUCUCGGCUGUGUUAUAGCUUUCUGCUGGAUACGUCCUGGGGGACUGAGGAACGCAGCGUGCCGUAUGGCGAGGCUCGUCCUUCACGCUAGAUGCUUA
rnacentral:rRNA from 1 species